GGUUUUGUAGUGUAGCGGUUAUCACUCCGGAUUCUGAUAUUGUCAUCAGUGUCUUCCGGCAACCCCGGUUCGAUUCCGGGCAAGACCU
rfam:Pyrenochaeta sp. DS3sAY3a unplaced genomic scaffold IQ07scaffold_12, whole genome shotgun sequence.